rnacentral:rRNA from 1 species
AUGCACGCUGGCGGCGUGCCUAAUACCUGCAAGUCGAGCGAACGGACGAGAAGCUUGCCUCUCUGAUGUUAGCGGCGGACGGGUGAGUAACACGUGGAUAACCUACCUAUAAGACUGGGAUAACUUCGGGAAACCGGAGCUAAUACCGGAUAAUAUUUUGAACCGCAUGGUUCAAAAGUGAAAGACGGUCUUGCUGUCACUUAUAGAUGGAUCCGCGCUGCAUUAGCUAGUUGGUAAGGUAACGGCUUACCAAGGCAACGAUGCAUAGCCGACCUGAGAGGGUGAUCGGCCACACUGGAACUGAGACACGGUCCAGACUCCUACGGGAGGCAGCAGUAGGGAAUCUUCCGCAAUGGGCGAAAGCCUGACGGAGCAACGCCGCGUGAGUGAUGAAGGUCUUCGGAUCGUAAAACUCUGUUAUUAGGGAAGAACAUAUGUGUAAGUAACUGUACACAUCUUGACGGUACCUAAUCAGAAAGCCACGGCUAACUACGUG